ncrna:unclassified sequences RAGATH-10 RNA
GAAACCUCAUCUUGCUCACGCGCCAUCCGGGCGCCAAGAGCGGUGUUUUCCCGAGGGAAAGCACGGGCACUCCGCCUGGGUGAGGAGAGAGU